UACGUAGGGGGGCAAGCGUUGUCCGGAAUCAUUGGGCGUAAAGCGCGUGUAGGCGGCCCCGGUAAGUCCGCUGUGAAAAGUCGGGGGGCUCAACCCUCGAAUGCCGGUGGAUACUGUCGGGCUAGAGUGCGGAAGAGGCGAGUGGAAUUCCUGGUGUAGCGGUGAAAUGCGCAGAUAUCCGGAGGAACACCGGUGGCGAAGGCGGCUUCCUGGACCGACACUGACGCUGAGGCGCGAAAGCUAGGGGAGCAAACGGG
rnacentral:rRNA from 1 species